GCGCCUGUAGCUCAGCUGGAUAGAGCAACGGACUUCUAAUCCGUAGGCCGGGGGUUCGAAUCCCUCCAGGCGCGCCA
rnacentral:tRNA from 1 species